UACGUAGGAGGCAAGCGUUGUCCGGAAUUAUUGGGCGUAAAGCGCGUGUAGGCGGCUUUGCAAGUCGGGUGUGAAAUCCCUCAGCUCAACUGAGGAAGUGCGCCCGAAACUGCAGAGCUUGAGUACCGGAGAGGAUGGCGGAAUUCCCGAAGUAGAGGUGAAAUUCGUAGAUAUCGGGAGGAACACCGGUGGCGAAGGCGGCCAUCUGGACGGAUACUGACGCUGAGACGCGAAAGCGUGGGGAGCAAACAGG
rnacentral:rRNA from 1 species